rfam:Gossypium arboreum cultivar AKA8401 contig_5986_1, whole genome shotgun sequence.
CAUUAAAAACUUCAUCAAUUUGUACAGUUAAAAAACUGGCAUGGCUUCCGAAUACCACGUAGUAACAUGUGGUUGCCAUGUGUAUCUCAUGCUGACGUACUUGGACUAAUUUUUAACAAUAAAAAUGGAUGAAAAUUUUAACA